UAGUCUUGUAUGUCUGACGACCAUCAUAGAAAAUGCUUUUGAUGGAUAAUAACACAGCAGGUGAGAUUAUUUGAAGGCAGAUGAGAUCUUUCACUAUAGUCCAAACAAUACCAUAGUUAGCACAAUGCCGACAUUAAUGGUGCCUCUUAUUACCAGCCUAUGGCCCUUUCCUGCAGUCAUCAUCAUUAUCAUGAUCCGAGUCUGCAUUCAUUUGACUUUGUGCCCACUGCCCAGCUCAGUUCUAUAACAGCUCUAUAGGAAAUCAGAAACAUUAAUGACCUCUGAGUGACUUCUAUGUUCAUCAUUCAUUAAUGCACUCCAUAAAAUGGCCUGUUGUGGCACAACAGAGGCCAUAAGAGUUGCAUUAUAAUAAAAAUACAGUUCAUUUAUGCCUGCAUACCCCAACCCAACUAGCUGAAAUCGAAUGCAGUUUGUGUGCUGAAUGAAGUCACUUUUCAGCUAUCACGACCUGUUUAUGGUUAAUGAUUACCUCAGAGAGACUCGGUUGAUGGUGCUAAUCCUGACAAUGUCUCCCAGGACCUAACUGAGAAACGCAGCACAGAGGGAUGGCCAACGAUAACAACAUGCUCGGAAACAGCCACCAGAAAGCAAUUCAAAUGGGGAAAUCUGGGAUUGUCUUUGCAUCCAUAUCUCCAGCCCCAUCCCUCAGCUGUUUUCCAAAACAGUGUUAAUGAAAAUGAAACAACGGGAACCAUUUCUGUCUGGGCCUAGACACACAGCAGUAUUAUGGCCGAAUAUAUUGCAAUCCAUGAGGAAACUGCGUGGCAGGCUGACCACCUGUUAUGCAAGUGCAGCCUCAAAAGGACCUUGUGGCUGCAAUGAGCCAAGAACCUGAGCCCUAGGACCAUACGUCAGGACUACCGGGCAUGCUGACACCUUGCUGUCCCCAGUCCGCCCGGCCUUGCUGCUAUUCCAGUUUCAACUGUUUCUGCCUGCGGUUACGAAACCCCUACCUGUCCCAGACCUGCUGUUUUCAACUCUUAAUGAUCGGCUAUGAAAAGCCAACUGAGAUUUAUUCCUGAUUAUUAUUUGACCAUGCUUGUCAUUUAUGAACAUUUUGAAAAUCUUGGCUCUCUCUAAUUUUCUCCUUCUCUCUUUCUCUCGGAGGACCUGAGCCCUAGGACCAUACGUCGGGACUACCGGCCGUGGUGACUCCUUGCUGCCCCCAGUCCGCCUGGCCUUGCUGCUAUUCCAGUUUCAACUCUUCUGCCUGCGGUUAUGGAACCCCUACCUGUCCCAGACCUGCUGUUUUCAACUCUUAAUGAUCGGCUAUGAAAAGCCAACUGAGAUUUAUUCCUGAUUAUUAUUUGACCAUGCUUGUCAUUUAUGAACAUUUUGAAAAUCUUGGCUCUCUCUAAUUUUCUCCUUCUCUCUUUCUUUCUCUCGGAGGACCUGGGCCCUAGGACCAUGCGUCGGGACUGCCGCCCGUGGUGACUCCUUGCUGUCCCCAGUCCGCCUGGCCUUGCUGCUAUUCCAGUUUCAGCUGUUCUGCCUGCGGUUAUGGAACCGCCACCUGUCCCAGACCUGUUGUUUUUCAACUCUUAAUGAUCAGCUAUGAAAAGCCAACUGAAAAUUAUUCAUGAUUAUUAUUUGACCAUGCUUGUCACUUAUGAACAUUUUUGAACAUCUUGGCAUAGUUCUGUUAUAAUCUCCACCCGGCACAGCCAGAAGAGGACUGGCCACCCCUCAUAGCCUGGUUCCUCUCUAGGUUUCUUCCUAGGUUUUGGCCUUUCUAGGGAGUUUUUCCUAGCCACCGUGCUUCUACACCUGCAUUCUAGCUGUUUGGGGUUUUAGGCUGGGUUUCUGUACAGCACUUCGAGAUAUUAUCUGAUGUACGAAGGGCUAUAUAAAAUAAAAUUGAUUGAAAAUUGAUUGAAACAUGUUUCAAGUUAAACUGUACAGUCGUGGCCAAAAGUUCUGAGAACGACACAAAUAUUACAUUUUCACAAAGUCUGCAUGAUGGCAAUUUGCAUAUACUCCAGAGUGUUAUGAAGAGUGAUCAGAUUAAUUGUAAAGUCCCUCUUCGCCAUGCAAAUGAACUGAAUCCCCCAAAAACAUUUCCACUGCAUUUCAGCCCUGCCACAGAAGGACCAGCUGACAUCAUGUCAGUGAUUCUCUCGUUAACACAGGUGUGAGUGUUGACGAGGACAAGGCUGGAGAUCACUCUGUCAUGCUGAUUGAGUUUGAAUAACAGACUGGAAGCUUCAAAAGGAGGGUGGUGCUUGGAAUCAUUGUUCUUCCUCUGUCAUCCAUGGUUACAUGCAAGAAAACACGUGCCAUCAUCAUUGCUUUGCACAAAAAGGGCUUCACAGGCAAGGAUAUUGCUGCCAGUAAGAUUGCACCUAAAUCAACCAUUUAUCAGAUCAUCAAGAACUUCAAGGAGAGUGGUUCAAUUGUUGUGAAGAAGGCUUCAGGGCGCCCAAGAAAGGCCAGCAAGCGAUAGGACCGUCUCCUAAAGUUGAUUCAGCUGCCGGAUCGGGGCACCACUAGUACAGAGCUUGCUCAGAAAUGGCAGCAGGCAGGUUUUAGUGCACAGUGAGACGAAGACUUUUGGAGGAUGGCCUGGUGUCAAUAAGGGCAGCAAAGAAGCCACUUCUCUCCAGGAAAAACAUCAGGGACAGACUGAUAUUCUGCAAAAGGUACAGGGAUUGGACUGCUGAGGACUGCGGUAAAGUCAUUUUCUCUGAUGAAUCCCUUUUCCGAUUGUUUGGGGCAUCCGGAAAAAAGCUUGUCCGGAGAAGACAUGGUGAGCGCUACCAUCAGUCCUGUGUCAUGCCAACAGUAAAGCAUUCUGAGACCAUUCAUGUGUGGGGUUGCUUCUCAGCCAAGGGAGUGGUCUCACUCACAAUUUUGCCUAAGAACACAGCCAUGAAUAAAGAACGGUACCAACAGAUCCUCAGAGAGCAACUUCCCCCAACCAUCCAGGAACAGUUUGGUGAUGAACAAUGCCUUUUCCAGCAUGAUGGAGCACCUUGCCAUAAGGCAAAAAUGAUAACUAAGUGGCUCGGGGAACAAAACAUCUAUAUUUUGGGUCCAUGGCCAGGAAACUCCCCAGACCUUAAUCCCAUUGAGAACUUGUGGUCAAUCCUCAAGAGACAGGUGGACAAACAAAAACCCACAAAUUCUGACAACCUCCAAGCAUUGAUUAUGCAAGAAUGGGCUGUCAUCAGUCAGGAUGUGGCCCAGAAGUUCAUUGACAGCAUGCCAGGGCGGAUUGCAGAGGUCUUGAAAAAGAAGGGUCAACACUGCAAUUAUGGACUCUUUGCCUCAACUUCAUGUAAUUGUCAAUAAAAGCCUUUGACACUUAUGAAAUGCUUACAAUUAUACUUCAGUAUUCCAUAGUAACAUCUGACAAAAAUAUCUAAAGACACUGAGGUAGCAGACCUUGUGAAAAUGAAUAUUUGUGUCAUUCUAAAAAAAAUUGGCCAUGACUGUACGUUGGGCCUACAGAAAUAAAUGCCUAUAAAAACGUAUUUUUCCAACAACAAAAAAUGUAUUACCGUAAUUUCCGGACUAUAAGCCGCUACUUUUUUCCCACGCUAUGAACCUUGCGCUUUAUACAAUGACGCGGCUAAUUUAUGGAUUUUUCCCGCGCUUUCACAAAUUCAUGCCGCCAAAAAACUGAGCACCGUCACAUAAUGUGAAGUAAAUCGAGCGCGCUCAAACUUUCCAUCAUUCUGAUUACGGUAGUCAUUUUGUCACCCUCAUCAUGGCAAAGACACGGAGAAAUGCAUAUGAUGCAGCUUUCAAUUUGAAGGCGAUCGAUCUGGCUGUUUGAAAAGGAAAUAGAGCUUCUGCACGGGAGCUUGGCCUUAAUGAGUCGAUGAUAAGACGUUGGAAACAGCAGCGUGAGAAACUGACUUAGUGCAAAAAGACAACAAAAGCUUUCAGAGGAAAGAAAAGCAGAUGGCCCGAACUAGAAAAUGGAUUGGAUGACGAGUGGGGAGAAAUCCUUCACUAAAACGGGCCGCAUGCGAAGAGCGACUUAUGGUCAAGUCUGCCAGUGGGUCCUGACAGCGUGGAGCUGCUGCGUAUUGAAGAGGGCAGCAUAAGCUCAUCGGGGAAUUUGCCUCCGGAUGAAAGUGAGGAGAGCACAAUGAAAACGAUCCAACAUCGGAUGAAGCAAUUCUGAGGCUAUUCAACUCCGACACCAAAGGAGAUGACUUCAGUGGUUUCAGUGCACAGGAGGAAGAUAGUGACCAAGGACUUUCUUGGUAGGCUACUGUUUACUGCUAUUUAAAAAAAAAAAAAUGUUACAAGCCUGUUUCGUUAAAGCCUAUUUAUUUUUGUUACAAGACGUGUUUCGUUAAAGCCUAUUUAUUUUUGUUACAAGCCGUGUUUCGUUUAAAGGCUGUAAAGUUAAUUUGUUUCAAUGUACCGGUAGGCACCUGCGGCUUAUAGACACGUGCGGCUUAUUUAUGUACAAAAUACAUUAUUUAUUUUUUUUUUAUUCAGUGGGUGCGGCUUAUAUUCAGGUGCGCUUAAUAGUCCAGCAAUUACGGUAAGUCAAGUUAGUUAAGAACAAAUUCUUAUUUACAAUGACGGCAUACCAAAAGGCCUCCUGCGGGGAUGGGUGCUGGGAUUAAAAAUAUAGGACAAAACACACAUCACGACAAGAGACAACACAAAGAGAGUCCUAAGACGGCAACAUAGCAUGGCAGUAACACAUGACAACACAGCAUGGUAGCAGCACAACAUGGCAGCAGCAGGUUUAGUUUGGCAGCUGGGGUGAAAGAGGAGCAAUUACGAUAGAGGAAACCAUGUCUAGAUUUAACCUUAGCCUGCAGCUUUGAUAUGUGCUGAGAGAAAGACAGUGUACCGUCUAGCAAUACUUCCAAGUACUUGUAUGAGGUGACUACCUCAAGCUCUAAACCCUCAGAGGUAGUAAUCACACCUGUGGGGAGACCUGUUUAUCCACUUGUCCACCAGACAAGGAGGUGACUGAAUAUCUUGUUGUGUUGUUUGAUGCAAGAAACCACUUUACAAAAUAUUCCCAUACCAUUAUUACAGAGAAUCAGAUAAAUUAUGCUACCCUCUGCCUACUUACCUUAUUCAAGCCUGUCUCAAAAUACAACACUGACUCUUUAAGACACAAAAGAAGCCCUUACCUAGAAAUGUACACAUUUUGUGCUCUUGUAGGAAGCAAUCACUCCAUUGCUGACCACAAAGUAUCCAUAACUGGGCUAAUAACUCACUAACCAGCAAAGGAUAUGAGGAAAAUGUGCUCAUGUGGCUACAUGCAGCUCUUGCUUUGAUCUCAAAACAAGCGCAUCUACUCACAACCACAGCUGUAAACACAAUCCAGUUCAACAUAAAAGGCACAGAUCCAUAUAUGGCAAGUCUGUCUACAACAAAAUCUCUUGCAUAGUUCAUUUUGUUUCGGUAUGUUGCACUGAAGGUGGCUAAUAUUGCAUUGAUUCGAUCACAAUUCCCAGAAUAAAGGGAAACGUUGAUAGUGGUAACAGGCAAAACUUGUUGAGUGAAGUUCAAUCUCGUGCUUCUCUCAGUGGGCUGAUAUUUCUUCUGCACUGCAGUCCCGGGGGCGCAGCUUAGAGGGAACAUUGGUCUUGACUGAUAAGGGCUGAGGAAAUAUAAGCGCCUUGUCUGCAAAAUUAACAAAACAAGGCUAUGCCAUUGUACAAGCAAGCGUCACUGUUGAGGUUACCACCUUUUUGAAGAUUGUGUUUCACGAUAACAUAACCAGCUGAUAGUACAGUUUUGAUAACUUAAUCUUAAAUGGCACUUGUUUUUUUAUUGACUGACUAUACACCGAGUGUAUAAAACAUUAAGAACACCUGCUCCUUCCACAACAUACACUGACCAGGUGAAAGUUAUGAUCCCUUAUUGAUGUCACCUGUUAUAUCCACUUCAAAUCAGUGAUGAAGGGGAGGAGAAACGUCAAAGAAGGGUUUUUAGGCCUUGAGACAUUUUGACACCUUGAAGAGUCCAUGCCCCGACGAACUGAGGCUGUUCUGAGAACAAAGGAGUGUGCAACUCAAUAUUAGCAAGGUGUUCUUAAUGUUUUAUACACUCGGUGUAUAUGAGGCAAUUUAGCAAUUAGGAUUUGUUAUCUGUAAUAGCUAUGAUAAAUUAGGCAUUUAAUGCGCACUGUUGGCAUAUAGAGAAAUGCCCCAUUUUUAAAAAUACCAUUGGGCAUCUUACCAGAAUGCUAACAAAAUUAGCUCAAGUAAUAGCGAAUUUCCAUGAGGCUACUAGCUAAAUAUGCUAACGAGCGCAAACUAAAAUAAACUAAUUACAAAUACAGGCAAUCCAGCUAAUAAAGUUAUACAUGUAUAGGUAUGGGGCUACCGAAUGUCAUUUUUGGGGAAUUUUGAAAUGUAAAAGCGAAUGUGAACAAGAGACAUUGAACAAAAUAGAAAUGUUGACGCAUGCUUGUCUGACCUGAAGCAGAUCUAAAAAUGCUUAUUUUUGUCAUUUCUGCUCGGCAUCAGACAAAGUUUGUGCUUCAGUAGCACUUCUCCUUUUGGAUGAGAAUUCACAAAUGGGCAUUCCAUCAGCAGACAGCUCUCUUGACUGAUGUGUUGCUCUUUUUCUACCUUUUUCUCGGUGUAGCCUGCCAGCCUACUUUUCUCCGGUAAAGUUCAAGAUUAACUAGCUGGCUACAGUCUUUCUAUGAUAAGCAUUAUAAAUAUGAUGGCCAUGCAUAAUUUCUUUGCAAAAAAGACCUUGCAAGGUAAUUUACUGUGCCUGCCAGCCAAAUAGCAUUGCAUUUGUCAUCUGAUGAAAAUGAAGCUAUUUUCUGUGAAGGAAAACUAUAUUUGCACAUUCCUGAUCACUCUAUUAAAGCAAACAACACACAGCUGGACUCACCUGCUCCCGCUUUCACCUGUUGUGCUAUUUACAAAAAAAAAACUGGUCCGGGUUGGACCAAAUCUGAACCAAUCAUGGACAUCUAUGUUUUGGCCAAAACAAGGCUGGUCCAGACCAGAAAAAACUAGGGCUGUUAGGGUGACAGCAUUACCGCCACAUCUGCGGUCACGAGUCAUGACGGCAGUCAAAUUCCACGUGACCGUUUAGUCACGGUAAUUAGGCUUCUCCAAGCUCUGACUCUGCUGAUAGUCAUUACUAGCCUACCAAACUUGCUAACUGUCUGGUACUCAGCACUCUAUUUGUCCCCCUGACAUCAAUGCAAAUGUAAUCGAAAAUCUAAUCAAGCACUUCAUAAGAGCCCAUGAGCUCAUGUUGUGCAAAAUUUCUAUAGGCUAUGUAAUUGUGUGAGAAACAGAGUGAUGGCUUUUAUUAAAAAGAGGAUCCCAUCAGCUUUCUAUAGGCUAAGCCUACUAUAUUUAUUUCUCUACUUUUCUAAUAUUAAGCACAUACCUUAUCUUUACAAUAGGAUUAUAUAGCCUACCUGGCUGGCAUGAAAAUGAACCACUGGAAAAGCGUCCUCCAUUCGCUAUUUAAGUGCAUUGAUGGCAUAUAUUCUUUUCGCUGCCCCUGUUUCGAGACAGGUGCAUGAUAAUGGUCCAUUAUAAAUCAAAACAAAUUUCACACAUAUACUAUUUAGUAUAUGUAAAUACAAUAUUAAAUCAUGAAUAGUGCAAAGAAUUUGUUCUUAACUGACUUGCCUAGUUAAAGAAAGGUUAAAUAAAUCAAAUAAAAAUGGGUGACAAGAUUAGCCUAUCACUUGUGAAUGUAUUUCGCUAUACCUGCAAUAACAUCUGCAUGUGACCAAUAAAAUGUUGUUUUGAUGAUAUAUGAUCACUUGUGAAUGAUGCCCAGCAUAAGGCAAGAAACAGAGCAUGCUUUUUUGGGGUACUUUUUCAAAUUAUAGUCGCACACCUCAUGUAGCCUGGCCCAUAUGUUUUGAUAAAGUUUAUAUCACAACUAAAGUGGCCAAAGAACUUCUUAAAAUGAAGCACAUUGAUCCACUUUACCAUUGGUGUAGAGCCUAACAUACGCAGCGCAUGAGUUUCAAGUUUGGGGAAGAUGAUUUACCAUAAAA